rnacentral:lncRNA from 1 species
UGUUUUUAUGUUUUUGAGUUAGUUUAGAGGUUUUAGCAAGCCCUCCUAAUCCCCGGUUUAGAACGAUCCCUAUUUGCAUUAUUACUACAAUUUGACAACAAGAGGGUUUAAUUUGUGUGUUAAGUUAAUUUUCGCAUCAGGAAUUAAGUUCCUUUAUUCAAUUGGAAUGUAAAGGAAAUCUUUGUUUUUCAUUUUCUUUGGUAGUUCAUAGGAGGAAGCAAGUACUACCUGCUUUCGCAAAGAUCUACAUUUGAUUCACGUUCCGAAUGUGAAGUACUUUCUCUUCUCUCAUUAAUCUUCUACUUCUAUUAGCCACACUUUUACAACGAUUGUAAAACAUAGUUACUAAUACGGAAUCAAGCAUUCAAGUAGAAGAACCAAUUGUUUUGAACUAUUCAAGAACAAUUUACAACACCUUCGAAAGGUGUGUUCUUGACACUUGCAAGACAUUUCUUGCAAAUACCCCUUCCAAUGUCCAUCCUUUCAUAAAGAAAGUUUGUUCCCUUGGAGUUAUUUCGCCUUCUUCAUUUGACUUCUCCUUUGACUAUGAAGGAAAUUUUGUGAAAAACAUGUUCAUUUAAGCAACAUCUAUAGCAUGCAAUUAACAAUUAAAAGGCGGAAUCAUGCUUGCAUGCACUCAAAAACAAAACAUCAACCAUGAAAUUCAAAGCCUAGUAGAUUGGUGAACCUUGACCCAACUUAAAACAACAUUUGUUAGUUGAGAAAUUACACCUUUGUAGAUUCCUCUUUGCAUAAGCAAAGGCUAAUCACCCAAAGAGAGGGCCUUCAUUCCUUGCAUCUUAUAUCUAUGGAUUUGGAUGGAUGAAAUGCUUCUCCAAGUUCCCAAAAUUGAGAACCUCUAAGUCUCUUCACCAAGGUUAGAUUGGAGAAGAAAUGAGUGACCUUGGAGUAAUAGGAUUGCUAGCUAAACCCUCCAAGGAGGCCGGCCACUUUAGAGAGAAAGGAGAGCUUAUGUUCUCAUCCUUUCCCCCA